rnacentral:ncRNA from 1 species
UUUUAGGGGUGCCGAAAGGCUGAGAUUAUACCCUUUGAACCUGUCAAGAUAAUGCUUGCGUAGGGAGAAUAA